CGUAAAUGUCCAGGAGCAGUGGCAUCAUCAGGUCUGUGGUUUCACUUAGCUAACAUUAUCCACUUAGCUAACAUUACCCACUUAGCUAACAUUACCCACUUAGCUAACAUUACCCACUUAGCUAACAUUAUCCACUUAGCUAACAUUACCCACUUAGCUAACAUUAUCCACUUAGCUAACAUUACCCACUUAGCUAACAUUACCCACUUAGCUAACAUUAUCCACUUAGCUAACAUUACCCACUUAGUUAACAUUACCCACUUAGCUAACAUUAUCCACUUAGCUAACAUUAUCCACUUAGUUAACAUUACCCACUUAGCUAACAUUACCCACUUAGCUAACAUUACCCACUUAGCUAACAUUAUCCACUUAGCUAACAUUACCCACUUAGCUAACAUUAUCCACAUUAUCCACUUAGCUAACAUUGGCCACUUAGCUAACAUUAUCCACAUUAGCCACUUAGCUAACAUUAUCCACUUAGCUAACAUUAUCCACUUAGCUAACAUUAUCCACUUAGCUAAUAUUAUCCACUUAGCUAACAUUAUCCACUUAGCUAACAUUAUCCACUUAGCUAACAUUAUCCACUUAGCUAACAUUACCCACUUAGCUAACAUUAUCCACUUAGCUAACCCAAAACCCAACUGAAGAGAAUUCCAAUUAAUCCCAAAGGUGUUUGAUGGGGCCGAAGGUGUUUGAUGGGACCGAGGCCAGGACACUGUGCAAGCCAGUCAAGUUCUUCCAUAUCGAUCUCAACAAGCCAUUUCUGUAUGGACCUCGCUUUGUGCACUGGGGCAUUGUCAUGCUGAAACAGGAAAGGGCCUUCCCCAAACCGUUGCCACAAAGUUGGAAGCACAGAGUCUUCUAGAAUGUCAUUGUAUGCAGUAGCGUUAAGAUUUCCCUUCACAGGAACUAAGGGGCCAACACCCGAACCAUGAAAAACAGCCCCUCCACCAAACUUUAUAGUUGGCAAUAUGCAUUCAGGAUGGUAGCGUUCUCCUGGCAUCCACCAAAUGGUGAAGCGUUAUUCAUCACUCCACAGAACGUGUUUCCACUGCUCCAGAGUCUAAUGGCGGCGAGCUUCACACCGCAGUACUGUGUAGUAGUGUUUAGUGUAUAGUAGUGUGUAUAGUGUAUAGUAGUGUGUGUAGUAGUGUGUAUAGUAGUGUGUGUAGUAGUGUGUAUAGUAGUGUUUAGUGUAUAGUAGGGUGUGUAGUAGUGUUUAGUGUGUAGUAGUGUGCAUAGUAGUGUGUAUAGUAGUGUGUGUAGUAGUGUUUAGUGUGUAGUAGGGUGUGUAGUAGUGUUUAGUGUGUAGUAGUGUGCAUAGUAGUGUGUAUAGUAGUGUGUAUAGUAGUGUUUAGUGUAUAGUAGGGUGUGUAGUAGUGUUUAGUGUGUAGUAGUGUGCAUAGUAGUGUGUAUAGUAGUGUGUGUAGUAGUGUUUAGUGUGUAUAGUAGUGUGUGUAGUAGUGUGUAUAGUAGUGUUUAGUGUGUAUAGUAGUGUGUGUAGUAGUGUGUAUAGUAGUGUUUAGUGUGUAUAGUAGUGUGUGUAGUAGUGUGUAUAGUAGUGUUUAGUGUGUAGUAGUGUGUGUAGUAGUGUUUAGUGUGUAGUAGUGUGUGUAGUAGUGUGUGUAGUAGUGUGUGUAGUAGUGUUUAUAGUAGUGUUUAGUGUGUAGUAGUGUGUGUAGUAGUGUGUAUAGUAGUGUUUAGUGUGUAGUGUGUGUGUAGGUGGUGAUGAUGUUGUCUCACCCCUGGAGGUCUGGUAACUGAAUAUGUUUUCAACAGAUGGGCUAUGCUUGUUCAGCUGCUCUUCCUGCAUCUCUCUUUCUGACCUAAUUUCCUACAAACUUAGUUACUGUGUGUGUGUGUGUGUGUGUGUGUCAGGAUUUCAGGUAGCCUGGUAAUUGUAUUAUUUUUAAUAAGGAAUACAUAACAUUGUUGCCGGGGCAAAUUGACUGGGACAAAAGACAAUCCUUUUGCAAAAUUAUGCUUCUUCAUUGAUCGGUGAAAAUACCAGUCGAUACGUUUGACCCUCAUGCUUAUUGGUCUAUCGGUUCAUUUGCAUAAUUUUAUUGGGAUUUAAUUGGACCUUGUGUAUUGGCGCUAGUCGUCAUUUAUCUUAUCUAUCACACAGCAUUCAGAGCUUAUUCUUUGUGGAAUAUCGUUUUUCAGACAGCGCUAUGCUACCUCAGCUCCUCAGGUCCUUAAUACUGCAGCUCCUCAGGUCCUCAGCUCCUCAGGUCCUUACUACUGCAGCUCCUCAGGUCCUUACUACUGCAGCUCCUCAGGUCCUUACUACUGCAGCUCCUCAGGUCCUUGCUACUGCAGCUCCUCAGGUCCUUGCUACUGCAGCUCCUCAGGUACUUGCUACUGCAGCUCCUCAGGUACUUACUACUGCAGCUCCUCAGGUCCU
rnacentral:lncRNA from 13 species